rnacentral:sRNA from 12 species
UGCCUAAACUGUCUGAAAUUAUCAGCAGCAUGGCAUAAAAUCCCAAAGCACAUAAAAACCCCGUCAUUCAGGGCCCGUGCUUUGGGUUAUAGAGGGAAACCUCUGUAAGGACUUCGGUCCU